UGGGUAACCUGCCUCAAAGAGGGGAAUAGCCUCCCGAAAGGGAGAUUAAUACCGCAUAAUAUGUUUAGGUCGCAUGACUUUAACAUCAAAGGAUUUUCUUUUAGAAAUUCCACUUUGAGAUGGACCCCGCGGCGCAUUAGCUAGUUGGUGAGGUAACGGCUCACCAAGGCAACGAUGCGUAGCCGACCUGAGAGGGUGAUCCGGCCACAUUGGAACUGAGACACGGUCCAGACCUCCGUAGGAGG
rnacentral:rRNA from 1 species